UACGUAGGGUGCAAGCGUUGUCCGGAAUUAUUGGGCGUAAAGAGCGUGUAGGCGGCCCGAUUAGUCCGCUGUGAAAGUCCAGGGCUCAACCCUGGAAUGCCGGUGGAUACUGUCGGGCUAGAGUCCGGAAGGGGCGAGUGGAAUUCCUGGUGUAGCGGUGAAAUGCGCAGAUAUCAGGAGGAACACCAAUGGCGAAGGCAGCUCGCUGGGGACGUGACUGACGCUGAGACGCGAAAAGCGUGGGGGAGCAAACAGG
rnacentral:rRNA from 1 species